AAUCAUUUUAAAAGCAACAGGUUUACUCACUUAUUUAAAUAAAGUCAAUCGCUUAAAAUAAGUGAGUAAACCCAUUGCUUUCAAAAUGAUUGGU
rnacentral:pre_miRNA from 1 species